CCUGGUGAUCCACAGAUGAAACCUGCUCUCAUUGCCUUCCUGUCUGCUGAAGGCUGCCAGCAGCAGCAAGCAGCCCGGGCUGCGGCAGAGUCCAAAGUCCUGCCAUUGGAGGGCCUGAGCUCCAGGGCAAGGCUAGACUUGGAGGGCAUAAGGAAGGCACGGAGCCCCCAAAGAACCACGAAGAUUCCUUAGGCGCCAGGAACACAAAGAUUAUGGGGUACUGUGGGUCUUCGGGGUGAGAGGUGUUCUCUUGACAGCAGGAGGAAUGGCUUGGUGGUUCCGGUACACAAAAGCUGUCCACAGUCAGCUCCACAGAACCUGCAAAUCCCAGAUGAGGACCCUCAACCCCAGCUGACUGUUAGGACACAUCGUGGCGGUUCAUCUUCACUGCCAGCUUGAUUCGGAGUCACCUGGGAGACGCACUGGGGUGUUUCCAGAGACGUUUAACCGAGGAGGGAAGACUCACUAUGGCUGUGAGCUUCACCAUCCCAUGGGCUGGGGUCCCGGACUGAAGUAAAAGGAGAAAGUGAGCCGAUCACCAGCGUCAAUCUCUGAAGGGCUCUUGAGCAGGACCAAGCAUUGCAGGCAGACUUUGCCCUUUCCCAUUCCCUCUCUCCUGCUAACCGCUAGAUUACAUUCCUAAUGAUAGCCCCCAGGGUCCAGUCAUUAUUUGGCUACACUAGCUAACCUGUCCAAUCAGGGCUUCCCAGCUCACCCUAGCACAGACUUCCCCUUUUCUCUUCAAAAACCUACUCCUAAAUUGCACGGUGGUGGCACACGCCUUCAAUCCCAGCACUCAGGAGGCAGAGGCAGGCGGAUCUCUGUGAGUUCGAGGCCAGCCUGGUCUACAGAGCAAGUUCCAGGACAGCCAGGGCUACACAGAGAAACCCUGUGUUGAAACAAACAAAACAAACAAACCACGCCUACAAAAGCACCUGCUACUUGCUGUUUGCCUUCGUCUGGUCCAGAGCAGCGCCCACCCACCCACUCCAUCCCUGCUCGCCCCUCGGGGUAAUACAUCUCCUUUGCGCUGGGCAUUUGGUGUCUGGGUGUGUCCUGUGCUGACUCCAAGUCAGGCCUUCGUCUUCUGCACUGCCCUCAGCACUCUUACCUCCUACAGAACAGCUCACCAAGCGUAUCCCAAAGUCCCAGAGUCCUUCCAUAACCCCACCCCACCCUACCCCAAAGCACUCUUACCUCCCAAGCUCCUAUAGAACAGCUCACCAAGCGUAUCCCAAAGUCCCAGAGUCCUUCCAUAACCUUCCCCCCCAAAUAACAUGGUCAGGUCAUCACAGCAAUACCCCACAGACCUGGUACCAACUUGUCUUCGUUAGGAUUUCCAUGGCUAUGAUGAAACACCAUGACCAAAAAGCAAGUUAAGGAGGAAAGGGUUUAUUUGGCUUAUAUUUCCAGAUCAUAGUCCAUCACUGAAGGGAGUCAGGGCAGGGACUCAAGCAGGGCAGGAACCUGGAGGCAGGAGCUGAUGCAGAGGCCUUAGAAGGGAGCUGCUUACUGGCUUGUUCUUCAUGGCUUGCUCAGCCGGCUUUUUUUAUAGAACAUAAGACCGCCAGCCCAGGGAGUCCUCACUAACUAAGAAAAUGGUCUCCAGCCCAAUCUUAUGGAGGCAUUUUCUUAAUCGAGGCUCCCUCCUUUCAGAGGACACUAGCUUCUGUCAAGCUUACAUAAAACCAUCCAGCACACUCACCACGCCGGACUCUACCAUCAGAGCCAAAACAACCCCUCCCUUCCUUAGGUUGCUUAUGUCCUGUGCUUUGUCACAGCGGGGAGGAAAGCGACUGGGUCUCAGCGGUAUGAGCUGAUCCGUACUCAGGAUGAACCCCACCCCACAUUCCACUCAGCUCCUCAGACGCAGGAGUCAUCAGCAUGGGUGUUACGGGGCUGUGAGCAGAAUUAAUCAGGAGUCUGGGUAAGGCCCCGGGCAUGGAGCCCCAGAGCCGACGCAGAAGAACCUGCACAAUCCUGGAAGCCGGUGCUUUGAUGGAGGCUCUUAUUUCUCCCCAGGGUCCACGCAGGAAUCUCUGCAGAGAACUCCCUGGCGGUGGAGCUGGGUGAUCCCUCAGCAUGGCCCGUAUCUCCAUUCCUUCAGCAUCGUGUAAUAGGUCUGUCAAAAGGCUUCUUUCAGGAACACACUUGCCCAGGCUUCACGUCGUGAAGGCAGUUCCUUCCGUCAAAAAAUGGCCUUGCUUGUUCCCAAAAGUAUUCUGUCCCCGGUUGAAUGUAAUUUAUCCAUCGAUGCUCUAACCUACCAAACUUAGUGGCUUAGCACAAUAAACAUUUUUUUCCUUCUAACUCUCCAGUCCAGCCACUUGGGCUGUGCUCAGCUGUCUGGUGGGUUUCUUCCCGAGGCUGAGACUCGGCGCCCCAAUGCGGUCACUUCAGUGACCUGUCUUAAAUCAUGAUGCAGAGGACCCACUGGGGAGAAGCAAAAGAGACACGCAGAUACAAGUGGGAGGAGUUUGUGGCCGUCUCUGUAGUCCCGUCAGACCGUGGGAAUGUACUUUAAUGUGUUCAUUACUUAAAUCCUGGGGAGCCUGUGACAAUGGAGGGGCAGGGCCCAUCCCCCACCCCUGCCCUACUGGGCGACUGCUGAGCCGGCAAACGAUGGACAGGUCAUUCUGAGAGUGGAGACCUGCCAACCGGUGAACUCAGGGAGCCUGCACCCCCGGUCUACUGUGACUGAGCUAGGGUGGCCUGGGUCACAUGUCUGCUGAAAGCUCAUUUUGCUUGUUUGCCAACUUGGGAUCACAACAGGACGGGGCAUCAGAUCUCAGUGUGAAAAGUGUUGGCUUUGGCACCAGCAAAUGCCGACACUCGGGUGGAUUUUAGGGUUACUUUGUAUAGUUUUGCAUUUCCUGUGCAGUUGGAAUACAUGGCUUAGGCCAGAUGAAUAGAUAGCUCUCUGAGUCCAGGGCAGAUGGGGCCUGUCAGAAUGGAUUCUCUUGCUGCUCUACCAUAACGCUCCUCCGUCAGGGGCCGGGUGUGCCUGUGUCAGAGACAGACAGGCUGGGGUAAUAGAGCUCUGGGUGAAAGUCCGGGACUCUGGUCGUGAGGGACUCUGGUCAUGAGGGACUCGGUGAUGUUCCUUUCUGUCAUAAAUGAGGUUUCAUAGGAUAAUAAAAUUGCAAGUGUUAA